rnacentral:rRNA from 1 species
GACGAACGCUGGCGGCGUGCCUAAUACAUGCAAGUCGAGCGAGCUUGCCUAGAUGAUUUUAGUGCUUGCACUAAAUGAAACUAGAUACAAGCGAGCGGCGGACGGGUGAGUAACACGUGGAUAACCUACCUAUAAGACUGGGAUAAACUUCGGGAAACCGGAGCUAAUACCGGAUAAAUAUAUUGAACCGCAUGGUUCAAUAGUGAAAGACGGUUUUGCUGUCACUUAUAGAUGGAUCCGCGCCGCAUUAGCUAGUUGGUAAGGUAACAGCUUACCAAGGCAACGAUGCGUAGCCGACCUGAGAGGGUGACCGGCCACACUGGGACUGAGACAUGGCCCAG